rnacentral:lncRNA from 1 species
CUUGGCCUUGUUAGCUAUUGAAUAUUCACAUCACAGGGUGCUGUAAUUUUUCUUCCCUGAGCCUCAGUUUCUUCUCUGAGGAACGUGGGUUGCAGAUUCUCUGUGUCCCCAGGGUGCUGGAACCUGUGAAGGAGCCAGUGUUAGACCGAAUAGCUCUGCUUUUGUUAGCUCCAGAGGGGUGGGAGCUGCAGUGUUGGAAACAGUGAAACCAGGUACUGAACAGCACGGGACGAGACGCUUCUCUCUGCCGCUUUCUUUCCACAGAGGGGACAAGGGACACAGAGAUGAGGAACAAGGACACCGGCAGGGCCACAGGCCCGGUGGCUCUGGGCAGGAUGACGCUGGCUUUGUCUCUCCCUGGGACGUGGCGAUUCAAAGGCUUUUCUUAGAGGAGGUGCUGGGGGGAGUCUGA